rnacentral:rRNA from 1 species
CCUACGGGUGGCAGCAGUGAGGAAUAUUGGUCAAUGGCCGUAAGGCUGAACCAGCCAAGUAGCGUGAGGGAAGACUGCCCUAUGGGUUGUAAACCUCUUUUAUGGGGGGAUAAAGGUGGCCACGUGUGGAUGUUUGCAGGUACCGCAUGAAUAAGGACAGGCUAAUUCCGUGCCAGCAGCCGCGGUAAUACGGAAGGUCCGGGCGUUAUCCGGAUUUAUUGGGUUUAAAGGGAGCGUAGGCCGGUCUUUAAGCGUGCCGUGAAAUUUUGUGGCUCAACCAUGAGAGUGCGGCGCGUACUGGAGACCUUGAGUGCGCGUGAUGCAGGCGGAAUUCGUGGUGUCGCGGUGACAUGCUUAGAUAUCACGAAGAACCCCGAUUGCGAAGGCAGCCUGCCGCAGCGUUCCUGCCGCUGACGCACGAAAGCGCGGGUAUCGAACAGGAUUAGAUACCCUUGUAGUC